UAAACAAAAACGAAUUUUUUCAUUUAUUCAUUUUUUAAUCCAUUUGGCAAUAACAAACGUAUUAUGUAUGAGUAAUCUGUGUCG
rnacentral:tRNA from 1 species